AUGGGAAUGUGCCUCGACCAAAUCCUUCCGGUGAUUCGAGAGCCACUGGUCAGGAUUUUAGUACCGUGCCUGAGCUGUUCCAGUGGAUCUGUAGUUUUGACUCAGUCCCCGGACAUUCAGUCUGUCCAACCUGGCGCUACGGUAUCCAUCACCUGCACAGCCAGCAGCUCUGUGUACUGUUCGACCCAUCAGGUGGAGGAGCUCUCCUGGUACCAGCAGAGAGACAGCAGUGCUCCCACUCUCCUGGUCUCCAAAGUCAGUUCCCUGCAGGCUGGCGUGCCCACUCGUUACAGCGGGAAAGGCAACGGGCUGACCUACACUCUGAUCAUCAGCUCCGUGCAGAUAGAUGAUGCUGCCGUGUACAGACUGCGCACAGGCCAUUCACACAGUGGUAAAGAGCUGUACAAAAACCCCCCUCAACCAGAGGGCAUGCGACAGCUGGAGGCCUAUAUGAGGAGAUGA